CACUAGAGUUAUAUAAGAGGAGGUGAGUAUUUGUGGAGUAGAGUUGAAAUUCAUUGAUACCAUGAGGACUGGUAAGGGCGAAAGCAACCUUUUAUCUAAUAACUGACGUUGAGGGACGAAGGCUUGGGUAGCAAACAGGAUUAGAUACCCUAAUAGUCCAUGCAGAGAAUUAUGAGUGCCAUAGGUUAGAUUUAAUUUGAUCUAUAAAUGAAAGUGUAAGCAUUCCACCUCAAGAGUAAUGUGGCAACGCAGAAACUGAAAUCAUUAGACCGUGUC
rnacentral:rRNA from 1 species